rnacentral:rRNA from 1 species
ACAACUUUUAACGGUGGAUCUCUUGGCUCGUGUAUCGAUGAAGAACGCAGCCAGCUGCGA